AUUGAACGCUGGCGGCAUGCCUUACACAUGCAAGUCGAACGGCAGCACGGGAGCAAUCCUGGUGGCGAGUGGCGAACGGGUGAGUAAUGUAUCGGAACGUACCUUUCAGUGGGGGAUAACGUAGCGAAAGUUACGCUAAUACCGCAUAUUCUGUGAGCAGGAAAGCAGGGGAUCGCAAGACCUUGCGCUGAUUGAGCGGCCGAUAUCAGAUUAGCUAGUUGGUGAGGUAAAGGCUCACCAAGGCGACGAUCUGUAGCGGGUCUGAGAGGAUGAUCCGCCACACUGGAACUGAGACACGGUCCAGACUCCUACGGGAGGCAGCAGCGGGGAAUUUUGGACAAUGGGCGCAAGCCUGAUCCAGCCAUGCCGCGUGAGUGAAGAAGGCCUGG
rnacentral:rRNA from 1 species